UACGGGGGGGGCAAGCGUUGUUCGGAAUUACUGGGCGUAAAGGGCUCGUAGGUGGCCAACUAAGUCAGACGUGAAAUCCCUCAGCUUAACUGGGGAACUGCGUCUGAUACUGGAUGGCUUGAGUUUGGGAGAGGGAUGCGGAAUUCCAGGUGUAGCGGUGAAAUUCGUAGAUAUGGGGAGGAACACCGGUGGCGAAGGCGGCCAUCUGGACGGCUAUUGACGCUGAGACGCGAAAGCAUGGGGAGCAAACAGG
rnacentral:rRNA from 1 species